rnacentral:rRNA from 1 species
UUAAAUUGAAGAGUUUGAUCAUGGCUCAGAUUGAACGCUGGCGGCAGGCCUAACACAUGCAAGUCGAACGGUAACAGGAAGAAGCUUGCUUCUUUGCUGACGAGUGGCGGACGGGUGAGUAAUGUCUGGGAAACUGCCUGAUGGAGGGGGAUAACUACUGGAAACGGUAGCUAAUACCGCAUAACGUCGCAAGACCAAAGAGGGGGCCCUUCGGGCCUCUUGCCAUCGGAUGUGCCCAGAUGGGAUUAGCUAGUAGGUGGGGUAACGGCUCACC